rfam:Ajellomyces capsulatus H143 mitochondrial scaffold supercont2.49, whole genome shotgun sequence.
UUCUUAUUAGCUUAAGGGUAGAGCAGAAUACUUCUAAUAUUUAGAUCUUAGUUCGAGUCUAAGAUAAGAAU